GCCGAGGUGGCGGAAUUGGUAGACGCCCGGGACUUAAGAUCCCGUGUCCUUUACCGGACGUGCGGGUUCGAUUCCCGCUCUCGGCA
rnacentral:tRNA from 1 species